rnacentral:tRNA from 1 species
GCGAGAGUGGCGGAAUUGGCAGACGCGCUGGUUUUAGGUACCAGUACCUGACGGUAUGGGGGUUCGAGUCCCCCCUCUCGCA